UGGGAGGAUGCAGAAGACAGCCAACAUGAGUGCACAGAACUGGAAGUAGCUACCAGCAAGAGCCGCUCAUAGGGAAAGGCAGUGGCUGUUUACCUGCUUUGCUCAGCCAGACCAGGCGAGGACAGAGAGAACAGUUAAAUGGUUCGCCUUCAUCAAAAUGGACCAUAUUUAUUCCUGUUAGACUGGAGCUGGAGAGAGAGGAAGGAUUCCUGUUGGCAUUCCCAUUGGUAGAAGUUGGAUCUUCCUCUAAACAUAAGGAUCUGGAUCACAUCUGUUAGCAGGACUAAAAGCAGUGCUAUGUCAAGAUUGUGUAACCACCACGGAUUUGCAAAUGCUAAGCACAGACCCACUUCUCCAGCAGAAGACAGUGACAUGACCCAAAUGGAAGCACAAGCUUCAUAUGGCUACAUUCAAUGAGCAGGUCUUCAUGGGUGAAUUGUGAUCCCCCCAGAAAGGUUACGA